AAUGAACGCUGGCGGCAGGCCUAACACAUGCAAGUCGAGCGGAUGAAGGGAGCUUGCUCCUGGAUUCAGCGGCGGACGGGUGAGUAAUGCCUAGGAAUCUGCCUGGUAGUGGGGGAUAACGUCCGGAAACGGGCGCUAAUACCGCAUACGUCCUGAGGGAGAAAGGGGGGGAUCUUCGGACCUAACGGUAUCAGCUGAGCCUAGGUCGGAUUAGCUAGUUGGUGGGGUAAAGGCCUACCAAGGCGACGAUCCGUAACUGGUCUGAGAGGAUGAUCAGUCACACUGGAACUGAGACACGGUCCAGACUCCUACGGGAGGCAGCAGUGGGGAAUAUUGGACAAUGGGCGAAAGCCUGAUCCAGCCAUGCCGCGUGUGUGAAGAAGGUCUUCGGAUUGUAAAGCACUUUAAGUUGGGAGGAAGGGCAGUAAGUUAAUACCUGGCUGUUUUGACGUUACCAACAGAAUAAGCACCGGCUAACUUCGUG
rnacentral:rRNA from 1 species